rnacentral:rRNA from 1 species
UGUCCGGAUUUACUGGGUGUAAAGGGCGUGUAGGCGGAGAUGCAAGUUGGGAGUGAAAUCCAUGGGCUCAACCCAUGAACUGCUCUCAAAACUGUAUCCCUUGAGUAUCGGAGAGGCAAGCGGAAUUCCUAGUGUAGCGGUGAAAUGCGUAGAUAUUAGGAGGAACACCAGUGGCGAAGGCGGCUUGCUGGACGACAACUGACGCUGAGGCGCGAAAGCGUGGGGAGCAAACAGGAUUAGAUACCCUGGUAGUCCACGCUGUAAACGAUGAAUACUAGGUGUGGGAGGACUGACCCCUUCCGUGCCGC